CUUUAAUAAGCUCAGCUAAAACUGAAGUUUGAAUAAUUUUUGUUAACUGAAGCAAGAAAUCUAUUAAAAAGAGCCCUCUAUUUUGGACUGUUUUGUAGUGAUGUAAUGGGGCCAAAUGAUUAAGCAUAGCUUAGAUAGCCAAAAUCCUCUGGGUCAAAUUACCCUGUCUGCCGACAAGCACAACGGGGUUGAAAGAAACACAGAUGCCGGACAAAUGUUUCUGGUAAGAGGAAGAAAACUAUUACAAGCCUGUCUCCUUUUUCCAGGCUUGAAGCUAGUUUUGGUCUGCCCUCCUUCCCUCUCUGCAUUUUCCUGAAGGCUGGAGACUGCCUAGUGCUGAAACCUCUGGAUACCCUCUCCCGAAGCACUGCCUUCUCCUCCUGUCUGAGGGAACUGGGGCAGAAUUGGCCUCACUCUGAUCUUAGCUGGAGAAGAGCUGGAUGGGCUCAUUAACUGCAUGUGCCUGCAAAGCAGCACGUCCUCAUGCCCAGGGUCCUACAAAUGACUGAGCCGUUGAGGAGGAAACAUGCUUCACACAGAUAUGCCAAGCUGUUGAUGCCUACCAAAUUGGAUACUGCACAUUGCAUAUUGCAAGUAUAUUCAGAUAACACCUAUAACUCCACAAAAGCAUUGGUGCUUUAUUCUGCUGCAGAGACAGAAAAUUACAGAGACAUCCACCUCCCACACACUUCAUAAUCUGGGACUUCACUGAACCUGGAGCAAAGACUGUGAAGAGGAGAAAGAUGCAAUAUCAGUAACUACAGGUGCACACUUAGGUUAUUCAGUGUGGCCUAUACAUUUACAGGUGACCACCAGAAGAACCACUCCCAGAGGGUGGUGAUUUGUAGGGAUAGAGGAAAAAAGUAGGUUUUUAAGGAGGAGUCUAAAGAGAUAAAAAAUCACUAACUGCUUGAGAGAUGAUACUUCAUUUGGAACAGGAUGGCUUCAAUAAUCCAAGAAGAAUCCUACCUUGCUGGAAUUCCUUCUGGCCAUUUGACAAUGCUGAGAUUUUAUUAAAGCUACUGUGAGUUUGAGCCUUCUGAUUUUUUUCUUUGAACAGCCUUUCUUCCUACUAAAUGUUCUCUCACUUGUCCGUAGCAGAUACUCACUAUCUGCCACUCUUCUGUAGAGCUAUAGUUUUGCCAGAGUUAUGAUUAGUGUUUUUUCCACUUAAAUUAAGUAAAGGGUUUCUAGCUUUUUUUGAUUCAUCUGAAUUCUUAACUGCAUUUAGUUUUUCAUGGAAUGUUCCAGUUUUGAACUGGAACUUAUGCAUGUAUAUGUUUUAUUUAUUCAUAUGUGUACUUUGUAGUAUGGAUAUAAAUACAAGCAUGUACCAAAAUUUCCCACUCACUGGUUUCAGGAAGGUGAAAAGAACAAAGAAUGACUCUGUGACAGAAGGUGCAACCUAAAGUGUUUGAGUCUUUCCUUUACUUGAUUUAAAGUGAAGAUUAGACCAUCAGUUUUCAACAUCCAGGGAAAAGACCUAAAAUUGAGACCGAAAUAAUGCCUAAUAAUUUUUUUUUUUUGCAAUCCAAGAGAUGGAUGGAGACAUAAACAAGAAGAAUUAAUAUCCAAGUAAUGUGGAAGAGUUGCUGGAAUAUUGCACAAAAAACAUAAUGUAGAGUUGAAUGUACAUCUCCCACAGUCCUGGGAAGUGCCCUCACUAAAAGUCCUUUUAUGUUAUGCUGCAGAGCUUGUUUUCCAUAUGAAACACUUGGAGAAUCUGGCUUAUGACCCAAGACAAAAUGAGAAAAAAUAUAUUAAAUAUCCCAAAAUAUUGCAGUGUAGGAGAGUCAGGUCCUGCACACCUCUACAGUAGGAGAAUUGAAGGAUUUUUGACACACACGAAUCUGUGCUCAAGAAUGCACAUGUGCACACUGGAAAACACUGAUCUUCUUUAAAAUUUGAUAUAUGCCUUGAAGCCUAUCCAGAAACAGAAACUAUCAAAAGCCACUCAAAAUUGUAUCAGGAAGCGACAAUGUCUUGGCAGUAAAAUGCUGAUUUUGUGUAAGGUAAUUAUGGACACCAAUGUCUCCAUUUCUUAGUGCAUUGUACAUGAAAAGAGCUAAAUUCAUUUGCAUAGUCAAGUUUAUGUAACAGUGCUGGAAAUGUGAAUUAGUUGGAAAAUAUAUCUACUGAUGUUGAGAUAUUAGCAUAAAGUUUUCAAGGGCUGAUUUUCAGCACACAUACAGUGAAAAUAAACUUAUAUUUGAGGGUUAAGGAGAUCA
rnacentral:lncRNA from 1 species